UACAGAGGUGCCAAGCGUUAGGCGGAAUUCACUGGGCUUAAAGCGCGCGUAGGCGGAUGUUUAAGUGUCUUGUGAAAAUCCCCACGGCGUCAACCGUGGAACUGCUGGGCAUACUGGACAUCUCGAGGCACUCAGGGGCGAGCGGAACAAGUGGUGGAGCGGUGAAAUGCGUAGAGAUCGGCAGGAACACCCAGGGGGAAACCGAGCCGACUGGGCAUCUGCUGACGCUGAGGUGCGAGAGCGUGG
rnacentral:rRNA from 1 species